CACAGCCAGUUCCCCCUCUUCUGUGCAAUCUUCCUGACUGCGGUUAGGUUCCUGUCUGUUUCGACUGAAUGCAGACAGGCUGCAGUGCACAGACCCACUGAGUUCAGUAGGAAAUACUUCAGAGUAAGGUCAAGCUACACGUAAUGUUGCUGAACAUCUUCGCUUACCAGAAGUUGAAACCAAGUUUUCAUCCCAUGGUGGAGCCCCAACUGUCUGUGCCUGCUUAGUGUCAAUCUGUGACAAAGAUGAAGCAGAAGCUGCCACUGAGCCAUUUCACACAAGUAUCUGGGAGUCUUUGGGUGAAAAGUGCUCCUACCCUGUUUCCCAUAGACAAGCAGAGACAUUGGUAAAGAACAAGAUGAUAUCUAGAAGCAUAAUCACCACCACCACCACCACUAUUAUCAUCACCACAGGUUACAGCACCAUAUACUACAGCAAUGGCUAACAAAGGAACAAGAGGAGUAAAGAGCAAGUACAAGUUCUUCAUAUCCCCUUCCUUUUCACUUGCUUUGGGAGCCAAAGUAGAACUCAGAUGAUUUGGGCAGCAUGAUCGACUAAUCCACCACCAACACUCACAUGUGGGUGCAAUUUCAAUGACCUCAACUUCCCCCAGAAUUUCUCUUUGCCACCCCAAAAUAAAUCCUCGGAGUGGCACAGCCCUUAGAGAUACAUUUUCAGGUGACACAGUGGAUUUCUGGGAGAAGGGAAGGCCAUUAAAAUUCACACACCCUGCUAGUACUGGUAUUGCAUUAGUCUGGAACUCAUCUGCAGUACCGAUUCAUCUCACAAAGCACUGGCGCUUUGUAGGUCAAGAUAUCAGCCACUGGCUCCAAUUCCCUUCUGCCUAAUCAUGAAUGAAAGUCUUCCCUGUAAACAUUUGCAAAAUUUAGAAUGUACUGAUGCUUCCUAUUAUCUCAACUGCAGGAAGAUUUGCCAGCAUAGAGUCACAACCAGUAGCCAAACAAGAGUCAUAGUGACAGAAAGCUCUAUGUAAUUAUAGAAUUUGGAGUAAUAUGGAGUUGAAUCUAUCAUAGAAGUAACAGUAAUUUUAAAGAAGCAUUUCUUCUGUUACAGUUCCCCCUUCUUCCAACCGUGUACUGCUUUCAUCCAAUAUUAGAUAAAUGUUAAGUAUUAUUAAAUUAUCAUAACAAUAAUUCGUGCAUUGCACCUGGUACAUUGCAAUGUCCAUUUCUUAAUACUUUCUGCUAUGGCUGUAAGCAUCUUCAGGCAGUUGUAAUAA